UCCUAUGUGUUAGAAUACCCGUACAUUUUCUGCAUCAGCCGGUGGCGAGGCCUUCUGUAAUGGACAGACAAGCCAUGUUAGCGAAACUGAUCGGGUGGAUAGAUCUCUUCUAGUGACUGAAUUUGGAUAUGAACAUGAUGAUGCAUGGGCAACAAAUAUAUAUUUAAAUAAUUUACUGAUAUCAGCAGGGUCUUGCGUAUUGAAUGCCAAACGCCGGAAUUACAUGAACUGGUAACUUUGUCUAAGCUCAUCAUAUGGUAUUAUUGAGAAGUUAAGCUUGGUUUUAUUUGUUCGCAGCUCACAGUGUUGAUGGCUUUAGAUUAUUUACGGUUAAAUUUUUGUACUUGGGUUUCUGUAAUGAAUACAUGGAUCACAGUAUAAUGUGGAUGAUUUGUAGAUUGAGAAUCGGAGUGUAUAUGAAAAAGAAGAAAGUGCAGGUCUGUGUGUCAGUUUUAAUUGUAUUACUGGAAGCCCAUUUAAUUGUAUUGCAGGCCUUUAAACUGGAAGCCCAGGUCCACCAUAGUGACCCGGGCUAUCCAUAUUUUUUUA